UGCAAUGGCCAUCGGUCUAGGGUAGG
rnacentral:piRNA from 1 species